UACGUAGGGUGCGAGCGUUAAUCGGAAUUACUGGGCGUAAAGUGUGCGCAGGCGGCUUCGCAAGUCGAGUGUGAAAUCCCCGAGCUUAACUUGGGAAUUGCGCUCGAAACUACGGAGCUGGAGUGUGGCAGAGGAAGGUGGAAUUCCACGUGUAGCGGUGAAAUGUGUAGAGAUGUGGAGGAACACCGAUGGCGAAGGCAGCCUUCUGGGCCAACACUGACGCUCAUGCACGAAAGCGUGGGGAGCAAACAGG
rnacentral:rRNA from 1 species